rnacentral:tRNA from 1 species
CGGGGUGUAGCUCAGCCUGGUAGAGCACUGUCUUCGGGAGGCAGGGGUCGUGAGUUCAAAUCUCGCCUCCCCG